rnacentral:rRNA from 1 species
GGGUUGUGAGGUUAAGCGACUAAGCGUACACGGUGGAUGCCCUGGCAGUCAGAGGCGAUGAAGGACGUGCUAAUCUGCGAAAAGCGUCGGUAAGGUGAUAUGAACCGUUAUAACCGGCGAUGUCCGAAUGGGGAAACCCAGUGUGAUUCGUCACACUAUCGUUAACUGAAUACAUAGGUUAACGAGGCGAACCGGGGGAACUGAAACAUCUAAGUACCCCGAGGAAAAGAAAUCAACCGAGAUUCCCCCAGUAGCGGCGAGCGAACGGGGAGCAGCCCAGAGUCUGAAUCAGCUUGUGUGUUAGUGGAACGGUCUGGAAAGUCCGACGGUACAGGGUGAUAGUCCCGUACACCAAAAUGCACAGGUUGUGAACUCGAAGAGUAGGGCGGGACACGUGGUAUCCUGUCUGAAUAUGGGGGGACCAUCCUCCAAGGCUAAAUACUCCUGACUGACCGAUAGUGAACCAGUACCGUGAGGGAAAGGCGAAAAGAACCCCGGCGAGGGGAGUGAAAAAGAACCUGAAACCGUGUACGUACAAGCAGUGGGAGCACCUUCGGGUGUGACUGCGUACCUUUUGUAUAAUGGGUCAGCGACUUAUAUUCUGUAGCAAGGUUAACCGUAUAGGGGAGCCGCAGGGAAACCGAGUCUUAACUGGGCGUUAAGUUGCAGGGUAUAGACCCGAAACCCGGUGAUCUAGCCAUGGGCAGGUUGAAGGUUGGGUAACACUAACUGGAGGACCGAACCGACUAAUGUUGAAAAAUUAGCGGAUGACUUGUGGCUGGGGGUGAAAGGCCAAUCAAACCGGGAGAUAGCUGGUUCUCCCCGAAAGCUAUUUAGGUAGCGCCUCGUGAAUUCAUCUUCGGGGGUAGAGCACUGUUUCGGCUAGGGGGUCAUCCCGACUUACCAACCCGAUGCAAACUACGAAUACCGAAGAAUGUUAUCACGGGAGACACACGGCGGGUGCUAACGUCCGUCGUGAAGAGGGAAACAACCCAGACCGCCAGCUAAGGUCCCAAAGUCAUGGUUAAGUGGGAAACGAUGUGGGAAGGCACAGACAGCCAGGAUGUUGGCUUAGAAGCAGCCAUCAUUUAAAGAAAGCGUAAUAGCUCACUGGUCGAGUCGGCCUGCGCGGAAGAUGUAACGGGGCUAAACCAUGCACCGAAGCUGCGGCAGCGACACUAUGUGUUGUUGGGUAGGGGAGCGUUCUGUAAGCCUGCGAAGGUGGCCUGUGAGGGUUGCUGGAGGUAUCAGAAGUGCGAAUGCUGACAUAAGUAACGAUAAAGCGGGUGAAAAGCCCGCUCGCCGGAAGACCAAGGGUUCCUGUCCAACGUUAAUCGGGGCAGGGUGAGUCGACCCCUAAGGCGAGGCCGAAAGGCGUAGUCGAUGGGAAACAGGUUAAUAUUCCUGUACUUGGUGUUACUGCGAAGGGGGGACGGAGAAGGCUAUGUUAGCCGGGCGACGGUUGUCCCGGUUUAAGCAUGUAGGCGGAGGUUCCAGGUAAAUCCGGUACCUUUUAACGCUGAGGUGUGAUGACGAGGCACUACGGUGCUGAAGUAACAAAUGCCCUGCUUCCAGGAAAAGCCUCUAAGCAUCAGGUAACAUCAAAUCGUACCCCAAACCGACACAGGUGGUCAGGUAGAGAAUACCAAGGCGCUUGAGAGAACUCGGGUGAAGGAACUAGGCAAAAUGGUGCCGUAACUUCGGGAGAAGGCACGCUGGUGUGUAGGUGAAGUCCCUGCGGAUGGAGCUGAGACCAGUCGAAGAUACCAGCUGGCUGCAACUGUUUAUUAAAAACACAGCACUGUGCAAACACGAAAGUGGACGUAUACGGUGUGACGCCUGCCCGGUGCCGGAAGGUUAAUUGAUGGGGUUAUCCGUAAGGAGAAGCUCUUGAUCGAAGCCCCGGUAAACGGCGGCCGUAACUAUAACGGUCCUAAGGUAGCGAAAUUCCUUGUCGGGUAAGUUCCGACCUGCACGAAUGGCGUAAUGAUGGCCAGGCUGUCUCCACCCGAGACUCAGUGAAAUUGAACUCGCUGUGAAGAUGCAGUGUACCCGCGGCAAGACGGAAAGACCCCGUGAACCUUUACUAUAGCUUGACACUGAACAUUGAGCCUUGAUGUGUAGGAUAGGUGGGAGGCUUUGAAGCGUGGACGCCAGUCUGCGUGGAGCCAACCUUGAAAUACCACCCUUUAAUGUUUGAUGUUCUAACGUUGGCCCCUUAUCGGGGUUGCGGACAGUGUCUGGUGGGUAGUUUGACUGGGGCGGUCUCCUCCCAAAGAGUAACGGAGGAGCACGAAGGUUAGCUAAUCCUGGUCGGACAUCAGGAGGUUAGUGCAAUGGCAUAAGCUAGCUUGACUGCGAGCGUGACGGCGCGAGCAGGUGCGAAAGCAGGUCAUAGUGAUCCGGUGGUUCUGAAUGGAAGGGCCAUCGCUCAACGGAUAAAAGGUACUCCGGGGAUAACAGGCUGAUACCGCCCAAGAGUUCAUAUCGACGGCGGUGUUUGGCACCUCGAUGUCGGCUCAUCACAUCCUGGGGCUGAAGUAGGUCCCAAGGGUAUGGCUGUUCGCCAUUUAAAGUGGUACGCGAGCUGGGUUUAGAACGUCGUGAGACAGUUCGGUCCCUAUCUGCCGUGGGCGCUGGAGAAUUGAGGGGGGCUGCUCCUAGUACGAGAGGACCGGAGUGGACGCAUCACUGGUGUUCGGGUUGUCAUGCCAAUGGCACUGCCCGGUAGCUAAAUGCGGAAGAGAUAAGUGCUGAAAGCAUCUAAGCACGAAACUUGCCCCGAGAUGAGUUCUCCCUGAGACUAUAAGUCUCCUGAAGGAACGUUGAAGACGACGACGUUGAUAGGCCGGGUGUGUAAGCGCAGCGAUGCGUUGAGCUAACCGGUACUAAUGAACCGUGAGGCUUAACCUUACAACGCCGAAG